UCACACUUCAAUCUCCUCCGUGUCUUUCUUUUGUAAUCUUCAUUUUUCUCCUUUUUCACAUUAGCGUCACACACAGAUAAGAAAGAAUAUAUCGUCUGGUGUAAGAAGCAAGAGAGAUGGGAGAAACGAUGAGGGGAGAAGGGAUCGAGAGAGCGAUGAAAGGCGAUGGUAACCUCACAGACGUACGUUAUCUUUCUGGUUUGCUGUUAAACCUCAUCUGCCGCGAGGAAUUGCAAUGGAUACUUGGAGUUGCAGCGGCGCCCAGGAGGGCGGAGGUUGGUGGUGGGAUCGCUGCAGGAAGCGAGGUCCUAUGAUCAAACCUUUGCCGUUGCACCGAACCUCUUGGGGCCACGGUCCUAUGUAAGUGUCAAAGAUCCAAACACCCUUGGUAUUAAAAAAAAAAAUUGAGAGGACACAUGCUUGUAUCUUCAACACACCUUAUUUUUAAGCGUUUCAUGUACCAAUAAGACAAUGUUCUUCUUCUCUUAAAUUAAUAAAAAAUAAGCAUUAUCCAUUCAUGUUA